CUGGAUUGAUCCAACUUCAUGCUUCCAUUUCACAAACUACUUUCGCAAGGGGGAAUUUAGAUUCAAGAUUUCAGACUCAGCCAAGCUUCAUCAGAUUCAACCUACAGACAUUUCUUAAGGCUUUGAGCAUCAGAAAGAUUAGCACUGCUAUUCCGAUUCAGAGAUAAGGUUAAACGACAGGCUUUGCCUAUACAGGUUGAGUAGCUGCCGAUGGUGAUGAAGUGACGAGCGGGACUCUUUUGUCUUAUUAUGUAUUAAUGAACUCUAGGGAUACAUGUCUUCAUACAUGUAAUCAGAACCUUAUUCCGCUGCGUACUCAGAAGUUUUAUGUUAUUUUGGCUAAGUCGGAGUUAUCCGAACUUACUAGUUAUUUGAGUCUCUACGACUAAACCUCCGUUAU